UUUUUAUGUUUUUAACCUGAAAUCCUUCAAAUCCUUUGAUUUCCUCAGAAAUCAUCAGAACUUCUUCUGGAUGAGUUUGGUUCUGUUUUCUGUGGACCGUAGCUACUCUGGUAAACUAUGAAGCUGCACAGCUCAGAGGACUGUUGGAGGAUUGUGGGUAAUGUAGUCAGGAGUCUGGAAGAGUGAAACAAACUACAAGAUAAUGAAGUAAAUUGGAGAAGCUGGAGGGGAGGAGUUCAGAUCCGGUCUAACGUCAGGUUCUUCAGACUGGAUGUGAUCCGAAGACUCCUCUGGUUCUGGUUCAGAUCCUGAGUCUUCACUGACGGACGGUUAUGAGACAGUACCAGCACCCUCUUAAACACCACCAGAAGCUGCAGCGCAUCAGUGCAGGCGUCUUAAGAAGAGUUUGAAGACAGAAAGAACGUCUGGAGGAAACCAGGAAAACAACCAGGAUCCACGCGGAACGUUUUCCUCAUUUGUCUGUUCUGUCGUCUUCAACACAGAACGUUGGGAACUGCUACGGCCGACUUAUGUUCUGCAGCCGACAGCCCCCCAGGGG